rnacentral:tRNA from 1 species
GCAUUGGUGGUUUAGUGGUAGAACUUACACCUUCCAUGUGAGAGACCCAGGUUCGAUUCCCAGAUAAUGCA